rnacentral:lncRNA from 1 species
GCGGCCAGAGCGGUGGGACCGGUAACACCAAGAGCCGAGAAGACGCAGGGACCCGGGACCGCGCGCGGGAGGAAACGCGGCGGCCGCCCAAGCUGUCACCUCCAGCCUCUCCCCUCUCGGCCGCCUCUGCCAGCAGCCAGAGCCGGACUCACUGACAAGCCGCAGAGAGAGACACACUGAGAGGGAGAUGAUUAUUAGUUGCGUUGAGUCAUCAGGCAAAGACCCCGAGGGCUCUCCCACAUCUCCCGCAGCAAGAGCCACCGAUCCCCCUUAAGAAGCGUUGACUGUACGGCGGCGCCAGAGGGCCAAACUAAGUUCGGUUUCGGGAAACGCUCUCGGGAGCAGUUCUGUAAAUCCCUGCUGGGAGCAGAGACUGCGAAAAGCUGAGUCCGCCGAUCGUGCCCGGGACAAGGCUGCCUUCCACUCGCCCUCGCCGCAUCUACCUGGUAGGCGGCAUGCGCACGGGCUUAGAGGCUUGAGAGCCUCUGGAAGAGAAAGGGUCCCAGGAAGGAAACCUGCCCCCGGCCUAAGUGUCGGCGCCCAGAUCACCACGAACCCCGCACCUAGGCGCCGCCCACCAAGUUCCAAAGAAGUCCGAGGCGACCUGGGAGUCGGUCGGAUCCCAGCCGAGAAAAGAAACAAGCAGGAUAGCAAUUCUUAGGGGAGCCACCCUGGGAGUUUUAGGCAGCGUUUGCCUUUCCCUGGUUUUCUUCACCAAGCCCCAUCCUCCCCCCGCAUACCACCCCCAGUCAAAAGAGUGGGAGAAAAUGCACAGUUCGAAGUCGGUGAGAGCAAAAAUGGGUCUAGUAAAUCAACCCGUGGUGGUAGCUAAAAGGUUUGGGGCUGCAAAGAAACAAACUGUAAGUUUUGAGCAACAAACUUUUUCUUCAAUCUGUAAUAUGUCGAAAUGGGAAGGGGGUGUUGCAAAAGCCAACUACCACUGUCAAACUUAGCCCGUUUACAACAUGGGGAAAGGCGUAUUUCUUACUAAUAUCUCAACAACGAUAACAAUGCUGUAUCCUUCCUUACCUUGAUGUUGAACUGCGAAUCCUCCUCCGGAUCAAUGUCCAGGAACUUAGAAGAAUUGGUGAUAUUAGGAGUUCAGUACUUCUGGAAAAAAAUGCAAAUGGUUUAGCCAGGAUCUUUCCUGUCUGAUUCGUCACUAUUAUUAUAUCUGAUGAUGCGAAUGGUUGGAGCGAUUCAAUCCUAAGUCAUUAAUGAGCUAUUUUAUAAACACCACUGUCUGAAGAUCUUCAUUUACAUUUUGCUAAGGAUCACUUCGCUAACCUCACAGGCUUGUGUCAACAGCAUGAUUUGCAGGACUUCAGUUACACUCUUAUAAACAACACGGCUGUAUUGUUAAUCGGUUAAUAUUUUAUAAAGUGUAAAUAUUUUAUUAUGUUUUGAAGGGAACUAUUGAUUCUAAAUUAUUAAACCCCUGAGAAGGACUAUUUAAAUGAAAUAUACAAUUAAGUACAAUUAAAUG